AGUCAAGCUCUAGCAGAUCAAUUGGUGACAACUUGUCCUAUGUAAAUGCUGUUAAAGGGUGAGGUCUUGGGUUCGAGUAACGACAAACGCACCAACAACCUAAUUAUUGAGUCAGAGAGAACUCAUAAUGGAGGGGUUGGGGUCGGCUGUGAACCUGGGGCCCAGGGGGCGGGUUGUCACACAUAGCCCCCGCGCAAGCGCGGGGCUGGGUACAUUAUUGAUGUAUUGUGUAGUCUUAUGUAUGAGAUUUUUUUUUUAACUUUUGUUUUUCUGUGUUGUAUAUAAUCUAUAUUAUAAUAGAUUGAUUAGGUUGAUAUGAGAAUAACCGGUGAUUUUUUUAUGUGUUGAUAUUUCAUAUCUUAUGUGUGGACGUCUAAAAGAGUUUCCGAUUUAUCUUCAUGAAUCUGACAUCUAGCAAUAUUUUUCCCAUGAAUAUGUCAGACAGAGACCUACAUAUUCGCUGAGAUUCAACAUCUGACUUGCUGACUAAUUGUCAUCAUUAUUAGCUAUUCAGUAGAUCUGCAAGCUGUGCAAGUAUAAGAAAAUAAUUAUCUAUCACAGUUUAGAAACCCCAAACAAUAGUGAAACCUUUUAUUAGACAUAAAGAAAGAGAAUAUACAUAACCCUAUAAAU
rnacentral:lncRNA from 1 species